AGCGAACGCUGGCGGCAGGCCUAACACAUGCAAGUCGAACGAAGUCUUCGGACUUAGUGGCGGACGGGUGAGUAACACGUGGGAACCUGCCUUUAGGUUCGGAAUAACUCAGGGAAACUUGUGCUAAUACCGAAUGUGCCCUUCGGGGGAAAGAUUUAUCGCCUUUAGAGCGGCCCGCGUCUGAUUAGCUAGUUGGUGAGGUAAAGGCUCACCAAGGCUACGAUCAGUAGCUGGUCUGAGAGGAUGACCAGCCACAUUGGGACUGAGACACGGCCCAAACUCCUACGGGAGGCAGCAGUGGGGAAUCUUGCGCAAUGGGCGAAAGCCUGACGCAGCCAUGCCGCGUGUAUGAUGAAGGUCUUAGGAUUGUAAAAUACUUUCACCGGGGAAGAUAAUGACGGUACCCGGAGAAGAAGCCCCGGCUAACUUCGUGCCAGCCGCCGCGGUAAGAC
rnacentral:rRNA from 1 species